CCUGUGCUGCCAGCCUUCAGGGAGGUGCCAUGCAAACACUGGCUGAGUGUGACUCCCUUGCCCUCAAGAGCGCUCUGAUUUGGACUGGGCUCCUGUGCCGUAACGUUUCCUUGUGCAGGUUCUGUAUGUUUGAACAGCUAUUUGUGGAUAUGCUCCUUUCCAAACUGUCAAGAGGGAGAAGCAAAGGAAUCACUUUUCAACCUCUGAUCUCCCAAGUAUUCUUAAUGGGCAUGUAUCCAGACAUUUUCAUUAAUGAGGACCUCUGACAGCUGUAGGUGUUACUCCUUGACCCUAUAAAAGAGAAGAUUACUGUGGAAAACUAUAUAUGAAUGACAGCAGAGAAAUCAAGUCCAGGGUGUUCUGGAUGCAGCUGACCUGCAAAUGAUUUACACAAAUGUGUUUUGUGUGUGUGAAGUAAACCCAAGGAACCUGAUACAUAUCAGAUUUACUGCAGUACCAUGUCUCAGUAUGGAUGUAAAAGGAGCAGUGUUUUGGGUGUAUCUAAACCCAUCAGAAAUGC
ensembl:lncRNA